rnacentral:lncRNA from 1 species
AUAGCCUUAAUUGAUGACACUCCACCAUUGUGAUUUGUUUCUGCCCCACCCUAACUGAUCAAGGUACUUUGUAAUCUCCCCCAUCCUUAAGAAGGUUCUUUGUAAUUCUCCCCAUCCUUGAGAAUGUAUUUUGUGCCAUCCACCCCCUGCCCACAAAACAUUGCUCCUAACUCCACUGCCUAUCCCAAAAUCUAUAAGAACUAAUGAUAAUCUCACCAUCCUUUGCUCUUUUCGGACUCAGCCCGCCUGCACCCAGGUGAAAUAAACAGCCUUGUUGCUCACACAAAGCCU